rnacentral:rRNA from 1 species
UAUGGUAAUUGUGUGCCUGAAGAAGAGGUAAUACGUAGGUGGCGAGCGUUAUCCGGAAUGAUUGGGCGUAAAGGGUGCGUAGGUGGCAGAUCAAGUCUGGAGUAAAAGGUAUGGGCUCAACCCGUACUGGCUCUGGAAACUGAUCAGCUAGAGAACAGAAGAGGACGGCGGAACUCCAUGUGUAGCGGUAAAAUGCGUAGAUAUAUGGAAGAACACCGGUGGCGAAGGCGGCCGUCUGGUCUGGAUUCUGACACUGAAGCACGAAAGCGUGGGGAGCAAAUAGG